rnacentral:pre_miRNA from 1 species
CCAGCGGUGCCAUUAGUGUGAUAGGCUCAGCGUUGAUCUAUUCAACAUCAGCCUUCAUGCGCUUGGAGCGUGCAGA